rnacentral:rRNA from 1 species
CCUACGGGCCGCUGCAGUGGGGAAUAUUGGACAAUGGGCGAAAGCCUGAUCCAGCCAUGCCGCGUGUGUGAAGAAGGCCUUCGGGUUGUAAAGCACUUUCAGUGGGGAAGAAAGCCUUGGGGCUAAUACCCUCGAGGAAGGACAUCACCCACAGAAGAAGCACCGGCUAACUCCGUGCCAGCAGCCGCGGUAAUACGGAGGGUGCGAGCGUUAAUCGGAAUUACUGGGCGUAAAGCGCGCGUAGGCGGUCUGAUAAGCCGGUUGUGAAAGCCCCGGGCUCAACCUGGGAACGGCAUCCGGAACUGUCAGGCUAGAGUGCAGGAGAGGAAGGUAGAAUUCCCGGUGUAGCGGUGAAAUGCGUAGAGAUCGGGAGGAAUACCAGUGGCGAAGGCGGCCUUCUGGACUGACACUGACGCUGAGGUGCGAAAGCGUGGGUAGCAAACAGGAUUAGAUACCCCAGUAGUC